AAUAGAUACCCCGGUAGUCCACGCCGUAAACGAUGAGUGCUAAGUGUUAGAGGGCUUCCACCCUUUAGUGCUGCAGCUAACGCAUUAAGCACUCCGCCUGGGGAGUACGGCCGCAAGGCUGAAACUCAAAGGAAUUGACGGGGGCCCGCACAAGCGGUGGAGCAUGUGGUUUAAUUCGAAGCAACGCGAAGAACCUUACCAGGUCUUGACAUCCUUCGCUACCUCUAGAGAUAGAGGGUUCCCCUUCGGGGGACGGAGUGACAGGUGGUGCAUGGUUGUCGUCAGCUCGUGUCGUGAGAUGUUGGGUUAAGUCCCGCAACGAGCGCAACCCUUGACCUUAGUUGCCAGCAUUCAGUUGGGCACUCUAAGGUGACUGCCGGUGACAAACCGGAGGAAGGUGGGGAUGACGUCAAAUCAUCAUGCCCCUUAUGACCUGGGCUACACACGUGCUACAAUGGAUGGUACAAAGGGUCGCGAAACCGCGAGGUGGAGCCAAUCCCGAAAAAACCAUUCUCAGUUCGGAUUGCAGGCUGC
rnacentral:rRNA from 1 species